UUUUUUUUAAAACCCCUCAUAUAUAUUAGAAAUUUUCUACCAGGUUCUUUUAAUCUCUUCAUGGUUUACAUAAUUAUUGAUCUACAAAAAUUCAAAUUCAUAAGGGGAGAUAACAAAGAUAAUUUGGAAUGUACAAAAUAUUUAUCUCUUGGUAAGUUGCAAUGAAAACAUUUGGUGACCCCAUAUUUUUUUUUAAAUGUCCAAAAAGAAUUAUCUUCUCACAUUGGAUUUCAAAAUACAUGUACAUAUUUUCAUUUUCUGUUUUCACAUAAUAAUUCCUUUGCAAUUCAUAAAUCUGAUGAAAUAUGUCUUUUUAUGCACAACCUGUAGCUUGGAAACAACAUAGGUGAACUACUUUUUAUCAUGUUUUUGUUUAUACCUAUAAGCUGUAUUGCUUUUGGUUUGAAAUAAACUAUUAAAACUUAUAGCAUGUGUUAAAUAAAUAAUACAAACAUUUGUGAGCAAGAAAUAAAAACAAAUAAAAAUUAAAUUUUUAUUUUGGCAGACACUGGCACAACACGAGGAAAGUGGCAUUUCCUAUUUUCAUACAAGUAUUAUUAAUGUUCAUGUGAAAAAUAUGCAGGAUUUAAAUGAAAGUAUGUGUUCAUAAAAAUCUGAUGAGGGUUCAAGUUGAAACUAAGCAUACCAAAAAUAAAUCGUUUACUUUAGAAACUUAUCCUUGUAACAUAUCUGUACUUAAAUUACUUUUUACUUAAAUAACUUCCAUAUGAAAGAAUCAAUUCAUACUGGCCAACUUAUCUACAAAAACCUUUAUGCAUAUGUAUAGUGGUAAGCAUAAAAUGUAUGAUAACUGUCAGAUAAGAGAGUCUUGUUUUGUUUUUGAAGAAAAAUAUUUUAUAUCUACAUUACAACAUUUCUUUUACUAACCAAUUGAAUAUCUCAUAUGUAUGAACAGAAUAAUAAUUUUAAGUAUGUAUAUCUUAAAAUAUAUCACCAUUUAUCAUUUAGAGGAAUAGCAUUCAGAAGAUCACAACUUUGUCUUUAAGGACUUGCUGGGACGAAGAUGCAUAUAUUCGUAAAAAAUUCCUGUCAACCCUCUUUCAACAAACCUACAACCUCAUUAAACAUUUAAUUUGAAAUGUAAAGCAGAAGUAAACAAAUUGAUACUUGUGAGUUAUCUCCCAUAUUUUGGAGUUUUCAAAAUAGUUCAUGGUUUGUUUUUCAGUGAUGUUAUAGUUAAGUAUGCAUUCAUGUUUGGUUACAUUUCAGCAUACUGAAAAUAUAAAAAAUGCUAUAUUGGAAUCUUGUGUUCAUGCUUGUUUUUGUCUUAAAUAACGUAACAAAUAACUUAAAAUUACAAAAAAGACAAGACAUAAACAGACAAAAUAAACAGACAAAAUAAAUAAAAUUAAACAACUGGUCCCAUAUACAUAAUAAAAAUAUUCAUAAAAAACAAAAUUCAGUGUCAAACAUUGCCAAAAACUUUUAUAAUGAUCAAGACUAAACAUGUAGUUAUAACUGUAACACAAUGAAUUGCACUUUGCCCUUAAUAUAUACAUUGUAUUUGAAAUACUGUAUAACCAAUGAAAAUUUACAAAUUUCUAUAACGAUAACUGGCAUUUAUCAAGUUGCUAAAGAAUAUGCAGGAUCUUAGAUUAAGCAAAUACUGCAAGAGUAGAAAUUUAUCAAAGUGCUAGUUAGCACUGAAUGGUAAAGAUUGCUUUAAUUUAUCAGUGGGAAGUGAAAUAAAUUAAUAUUGCAUUGAAUAAACCAUUGAUUGUAGUUGAUUCAACUACAAUUUUGGACAAUGGGAGAUAACUCCAAUUUUUUAAUAAUGACAUGAUUUAUAUUUUUAGAACAGAUAUUUGAUUCCUGCACCUUGCAAACUUUAUGUUAUUUUCUUGAUAGGUUUAGCAUUGUUUUGUGACUGGAAUAUCUGAGCAUAUAUUACAGUAAUAAAAUACUGAAAAUGUUCAUGGAUAGGAUGUACAGAAUGUUGUGAUCAAUGCACUAUAUUUUGUGUAUCAAAAAGGUAGUGAUAAGCCUUGGAAGAUUUAGAUAUCAAGUCAGUAACAUAGGGUUUUGAUUGCAUUUCAUGCAAUCUUUACCCAAAAACUCUUAUCAAUGUAAGUAUCAGUAUAAAAUUGGAAACUAAACUUAUGCUAGGGAUGUAGGCAAUACACAUAGUUUUCUGCAUCACACCAUUUAACUGGCUCAGCACUGCAGAUGCAAUAGGUAACACAGAUCAAAACCACUAUUACAUACACUGUAUUUGAAUUGAAACUAUAUAGAUUUAACUUAAUGUGCCCUUUAGGUAUUAAUCAAAUCAUUGUCUUCAAUUUGAACAGAAUUUUAUUUGGGUAAUAGUACCACAUAAAGAAAGGCAAGCCAGACUUCACACAACUAAAAGAGGAAAAUUUAUUGCUAUAUUUAACUUACAAAAAUGUCAGCUUCCUAGCAUAACACAUGGGUACUUAAAACAAGAAUAACACAAAUAAAUGUGCAUUUUUAACAUUUCACUAUAAAAGUAUAAAUAUGUAUGAUAUGUGAAUACAAUAACAAUAGUUUCUAAUGACAACACAACCUAGUAGCUUUGAUAUUAUUCUUACAUGUACACACAUAUUCCUAACAUUUAGAUAUAGCAACACAUAUGACAGUAACAUUUACAUGAAAAUGGAUGUGAUGUGCAUGAUAUUUGUAGUAUUUAACUAGAAAAUGUCAUGGCUUAGUUUAAACUGCUUUUAUAACACAUGAUAUAGAGAAUUUCAAUUAGCAUUUAAUUUUCUAUUCAAGGGUCAUAUUUUUGAGAUUUAAUGUAUCUCUUUUACAAUACAAAAACAAUGAGGUUCAGGAAA
rnacentral:lncRNA from 1 species